CCUUCGCGACGUCGACGCCCGCAUGACGCCCGACGGGCCGUGAGGCCGCGGGCUCAAGACGGGCACGGCAGUCGUUCGCGUCGAGGGACAAUGCGUUUUGCUUGGGCAAACAGAGCCGGAAGACCCCACGCCCGCGCGUAACGUUCUGCAUCCGAGAGAACGGGCAGAGCACACCGUGGGCCGAAGCAGCCAAGCGACUGGGCGAGGCUUGCCGGGAGCACGGGGCRUGCCUCGUGUCCGCCCCACRGCCCGCGAGGGCUGGGUGCGGAGGGGAUCAGACCGUCUGAUAUUUUUCG
rnacentral:misc_RNA from 1 species